rnacentral:lncRNA from 1 species
GUCGUGACCCGCUGACAGAGGAGGCCCAGGAGCGUCUGCGGGAGCCGGUGGGCCCAGGCAGCAAGAGGGUUGUCACCAAAGACUGGUUGGCGGCAAUGACUGGCUGCGGAAAGAGCCUGUGUGGAGCCCGCCUCUGAUGAGCCGGGAGCUUCCCGCCUCGCUUUUAGCCAAUCAGAGAUAGUGUGUAGGGGGCGCGGUGGAACUGGGCGGAGUCCGGGCAGGAAUGGGCCUGUCUGAGCAAGUUUGCGUGACCUAGGUUGCGGCGACAGAGUCCUGCAAAGCAGUGUGAUUUUGGAUCGUACUGGCUUCUCCGGGCAGGAUCUUGGAGGCCUUAAGCUGAUUCCGGCUACUGACCUGGAGCAGGCAAUGCGGCUUUCCACGUUGUCAUAGGCCCUAGCUUUCAGAGUGUGGUGGGGAACACCUGGGAUAACUGCCUCUCUGUUACCCUCCUAGCAAGAGUGAGGCUAUCCUUAACGAGGCAAUUGUGUCCCUCUGGUUAGCCAUCUGCGGAGGAAGCACUCCAGGGAAUUGCUUUUCCACCAGCCAGAGUAGAAAUUUGUUUCCGGGGAAAGAGAUUUCAGAGAUCACCUUGCAGGACUGAAGCCAAGACAGUAAUGGACAGGUCCACACCUCGACCUUCACUGUUCAACUCUAUAUCAAGUCUGACUCUUUACUUAAACCUCAGUUUCAUAUUAGAACUCAGAAGAUAAGACUUCUCUUUGUCCCUCUUCCCAAUGUGGCCGUAUUGAAUAAAUCUCCUUUUUCUAUAUCUU